GACGAACGCUGGCGGCGUGCUUAACACAUGCAAGUCGAACGGUGAAGCGCCUUCCUUUUUGGUGGGUGUGGAUGAGUGGCGAACGGGUGAGUAACACGUGAGUAACCUGCGCCCUUCUUCUGGAUAACCGCAUGAAAGUGUGGCUAAUACGGGAUAUUCUGGGUCUGUCGCAUGAUGGGUCUGGGAAAGAUAUUGUUUCGGUGGGGGAUGGGCUCGCGGCCUAUCAGCUUGUUGGUGGGGUGAUGGCCUACCAAGGCGGUGACGGGUAGCCGGCCUGAGAGGGUGGACGGUCACACUGGGACUGAGACACGGCCCAGACUCCUACGGGAGGCAGCAGUGGGGAAUAUUGCACAAUGGGCGCAAGCCUGAUGCAGCGACGCCGCGUGAGGGAUGGAGGCCUUCGGGUUGUGAACCUCUUUCGCCAGUGAAGCUGGCCUGCCUCGUUUGUGGGUGGGUUGACGGUAGCUGGAUAAGAAGCGCCGGCUAACUACGUG
rnacentral:rRNA from 1 species